rnacentral:rRNA from 1 species
UGGUGGAGUGAUUUGUCUGGUUAAUUCCGUUAACGAACGAGACCUCGACCUGCUAACUAGUUUGCUAUACCCUUUGGGUAUAUGUAAGCUUCUUAGAGGGACUAUCGGUUGUUAGCCGAUGGAAGUUCGAGGCAAUAACA